rnacentral:rRNA from 1 species
CCCUUAGAUGUUCUGGGCUGCACGCGCGCUACACUGAUGCGAUCAACAAGUUUUUCCUAUGUCGAUAGACACGGGUAAUCUUUUGAACUCGCAUCGUGAUGGGGAUAGAUUAUUGUAAUUAUUAAUCUUCAACGAGGAAUUCCUAGUAGGUUCAAAUCAUCAGUUUGCAUCGAUUACGUCCCUGCCCUUUGUACACACCGCCCGUCGCUGCUACCGAUUGGUUGAUCUGGUGAAUUAUUCGGACUGCCGGCUGAAGGGGUUUCCUCAUCUGCCAGCGGAAAGUCUUGUUAACCCUAUCAACUAGAGGAAGCAGAAGUCGUAACA